GGGUAACGGCCCACCGAGGCGACGAUGUCUAGGGGUUCUGAGAGGAAGGUCCCCCACACUGGUACUGAGACACGGACCAGACUCCUACGGGAGGCAGCAGUGAGGAAUAUUGGUCAAUGGGCUUACGCCUGAACCAGCCAAGUCGCGUGAGGGAAGACUGCCCUAUGGGUUGUAAACCUCUUUUGUCAGGGAGCAACGCCGGCUACGUGUAGCCGGACUGAGAGUACCUGAAGAAAAAGCAUCGGCUAACUCCGUGCCAGCAGCCGCGGUAAUACGGAGGAUGCGAGCGUUAUCCGGAUUUAUUGGGUUUAAAGGGUGCGUAGGCGGAAUGCCAAGUCAGCGGUAAAAUCGCGGGGCUCAACCUCGCUCCGCCGUUGAAACUGGCGUUCUUGAGUGGGCGAGAAGUAUGCGGAAUGCGUGGUGUAGCGGUGAAAUGCAUAGAUAUCACGCAGAACUCCGAUUGCGAAGGCAGCAUACCGGCGCCCAACUGACGCUGAAGCACGAAAGCGUGGGUAUCGAACAGGAUUAGAUACCCUGGUAGUCCACGCAGUAAACGAUGAAUACUAGCUGUUCGGGGCAAUUGGGCCUUGAGUGGC
rnacentral:rRNA from 1 species